UACGUAGGGUGCGAGCGUUAAUCGGAAUUACUGGGCGUAAAGCGUGCGCAGGUGGUUUUGUAAGACAGGCGUGAAAAUCCCCGGGCGUCAACCUAGGGAACGUAGCGCUUGUGACUGCAAGGCGUAGAGUACGGCAGAGGGGGGUGGGAAUUCCACGUGUAGCAGUGAAAUAGCGUAGAUAUGCGGAGGAACACCAAUGGCGAAGGCAAU
rnacentral:rRNA from 1 species